rnacentral:rRNA from 1 species
GUCUAUGGCCAUGCCACCGUGAACAAGCCCGGUCCCGUCCGAUCUCGGAGGCUAAGCAGGGUCGGGCCUGGUUAGGACUUGGAUGGGAGACCACCUAGGAAGACCAGGUGCUGUAGGUG